rnacentral:rRNA from 1 species
AGUGAACGCUGGCGGUAGGCCUAACACAUGCAAGUCGAACGGCAGCACAGUAAGAGCUUGCUCUUACGGGUGGCGAGUGGCGGACGGGUGAGGAAUACAUCGGAAUCUACUUUUUCGUGGGGGAUAACGUAGGGAAACUUACGCUAAUACCGCAUACGACCUACGGGUGAAAGCAUGGGAUCUUCUGACCUUGCGCGAUUGAAUGAGCCGAUGUCGGAUUAGCUAGUUGGCGGGGUAAAGGCCCACCAAGGCGACGAUCCGUAGCUGGUCUGAGAGGAUGAUCAGCGACACUGGAACUGAGACACGGUCCAGACUCCUACGGGAGGCAGCAGUGGGGAAUAUUGGACAAUGGGCGCAAGCCUGAUCCAGCCAUACCGCGUGGGUGAAGAAGGCCUUCGGGUUGUAAAGCCCUUUUGUUGGGAAAGAAAAGCAGCAGGUUAAUACCCCGCUGUUCUGACGGUACCCAAAGAAUAAGCACCGGCUAACUUCGUG